CGACGGAAGUCUUUGGUGAAUCUGAAAACUGAACAACUGAAAGUCGACAACUGUUCCAAAAACUAGACUGUUGAAUCAUUUUAAAAUGUAGAUUCAGUCAUGUAGGCUACGAAUUCUUUCGCUGCGCAACGUUUAGUAUAGCGAAUAGAUUUGGAGAGGUCCUGAUCUGUAUCUAAAUUCAUCUGGCUAGCACAGGGCCAGUUGCUGUAACGAACCCUAAGAUCAAAAGAUGAAGAUGGAAACCUUGAUCUUUCAUGGUAUGUGGUGAUGUUUAAAGAUGCUCAGUUUCUUGUGAUUUGGUGGUGAGCCAUUGCUUGUUAGGCAUGAGUUUCGAUGGUGCCCGGUUUUUGCGUCAAAUAUGGAGGGUUGUGGUGUUAGCAGGAAAUUGCUCUUUCAUGCCAGGCGCUCGGAAGGUACGGACCGAUCAUCACUGAACAAUGUAGUGGGCGCUACUAUUACCUGAAUUAACGCAGAACUUGGUCUUGGUUCUUCUGUGGAUAUAUCGGUGGUGUCCGACCGCGGUUGGUGUAAUUCGGGUCUAGCAGUAGUGAUGAGUCGUGAAUUUCACUGCCGUAAGGUUACUAAUCGUUUGCCACUGAUGCUGUCACCUGAUUUGCCGGCGACUUGGUUAUAGCUUUUUCGUCUGUACAUGGACUAGCUAUGUUCGGGAUUGGUUAAUGCCUAUAGGUUAGUUAACAUUUUUUUCUUUCUGUCUCUUUCGUGGGUUUGUUAGGUGAUGACACGUUUAAUGGCGAUUUUCUGUGAUUAAGGCCGUAGCCAAAAGGAUACUGACUUCUUUAUUUUACCGUACAAUUGUGAGUUGUUUCGUCGUGCGCUAUAACUUUAUUCUGUGCAGGUAUAGCAGAGUCGCGGCGAAUCGUGGGUUAUAUUGUUUGAUUAGCUGUUAACGACCAGCGUGUGAGUAAUAUUUCUGUAUUGUGUUAUUCCAGCUAUUAAUGAUGAAACUAUUGUAUCCGUAUUGAUGGAUGAUGGUAGUACAAGCUCAACAGGUCUGAUACUGUUGUCUGAAAACGAAAUUUGCAGUCGAAAUGUUUUUUUUAACAUUUUUCUUCGUAAAAAAUACAGGCGUGAGUUAUUCGUAUCUCUUACCAGUAUGUGGUCUGGAUGGAGCUUUUUUUCCCGCGGGUGCUGCGUAGUAUUUUUGGGAUUGAUGAACGGCGUGGUAAGAAUCUUAUCAUGACAUUUUCCUUCUCUGCAGUUCUACAGUUUUAUCUCCACAUUUUUCAACAAAGUUUAGUGGGAACCAAAAGCUGUGAAUUUGUGUUGCACCCUGAAAAAUUAUGCGAUUUCUUUGUAGAAUCCAACUCUUCUGUAAAUUCUGCAAUGGCAGAUUUGGAAAUAUUUAUUGCCAGGUUAGGAAUGUUUAGAAUAUUGCAUAAGGUGACUCAAUAUAUUCAUUUUCAUUUGCACGAACAAAUACAAAUUCCUGUAUCGUUA
rnacentral:lncRNA from 1 species